CCCGAGCUGAGGGCUGUGGAGAGGAUCCCUCCCGCCUGGCUGGUAGCGGGCUCCCAGAGAGAGUGUCUGCCCUGCCGGCACAGCAGAUGCCUUGGGUGAUUCAGAAAUGAGCAGUGGGAGCGCUUAGUGAUUUUCACAGGAGGAAGACAGCAGCCAGCAAGGCCCCGGCUCCCUGCCAUCUUGAGCCCUUCCUGGUGAUUUGCAGCAGCACAGAUAAGUACGGAGCACUGAGGACUGAAGUCAGCGUUUGGACCUGACUUUAUUUUAGUAUAAAUGACCACAUGAGAUUCAUACCAAUGAAGAUAUAGGAGUAAAAUAGCAGAAGUACAUAAAUGCCUCUUCUAAAAGUGCAGUUUCGAGUAUUUAAGGUUAAUGAGAUAGAUAGAAAAGAGUCCUCUUCACGUGUGUUUAUGUUUCCAUGUCCUAACAGAAAGUGACGCAUUAUCUUACAUACCAGGUGUGUUUUGGAUGAAUCUCUAUCACCCUAUUGAUAUCAGGGGAACUGAAUUGAUUUAAAUUAGUGAAGGAACUAACCCAGCUAAGUUUUAAAUAAUUGCAAUAAUAUUCUCUGUCUCUUUCAGUCAGAUUUGCCCUUCGUGUUUAGUUGUUUCAUAAUCCUGCAGCUCUCCAUUUCAUCUUUACAAGACCAGAAUCUCUAUUUUCCUGUGAACAGGGAAAAAAACCCACCACCGUAAAAGGCAGUCCUUUUAUAUUCCAAUCUUUAUUUCCUUGUUUAAAUAAACUUAGGGCACAAAAGCUCA